UACGUAGGGACCGAGCGUUGUCCGGAAUCAUUGGGCGUAAAGAGCGUGUAGGCGGCCACUUAAGUCCUGCGUGAAAUCUUGCGGCUCAACCGCAAGCGGUCGUGGGAAACUGGGUGGCUAGAGUGCGGGAGAGGAGAGUGGAAUUCCUGGUGUAGCGGUGGAAUGCGCAGAUAUCAGGAGGAACACCUGUGGUGUAGACGGCUUUCUGGACCAUAACUGACGCUGAGACACGAAAAGCGUGGGUAGCAAACAGG
rnacentral:rRNA from 1 species